rnacentral:rRNA from 1 species
CACUCCUGCGGGAGGCAGCAGUGGGGAAUUUUGGACAAUGGGCGAAAGCCUGAUCCAGCAAUGCCGCGUGAGUGAAGAAGGCCUUCGGGUUGUAAAGCUCUUUUGUCAGGGAAGAAACGGUGAAAGCUAAUAUCUUUUGCUAAUGACGGUACCUGAAGAAUAAGCACCGGCUAACUACGUGCCAGCAGCCGCGGUAAUACGUAGGGUGCAAGCGUUAAUCGGAAUUACUGGGCGUAAAGCGUGCGCAGGCGGUUUUGUAAGUCUGAUGUGAAAUCCCCGGGCUCAACCUGGGAAUUGCAUUGGAGACUGCAAGGCUAGAAUCUGGCAGAGGGGGGUAGAAUUCCACGUGUAGCAGUGAAAUGCGUAGAUAUGUGGAGGAACACCGAUGGCGAAGGCAGCCCCCUGGGUCAAGAUUGACGCUCAUGCACGAAAGCGUGGGGAGCAAACAGGAUUAGAUACCCUAGUAGUCCCA